UACGGAGGGUGCAAGCGUUGUCCGGAUUUAUUGGGUUUAAAGGGUGCGUAGGCGGUACGCUAAGUCAGUGGUGAAAUCCUGGGGCUCAACCCCGGAAUUGCCAUAGAUACUGGCAUGCUUGAGUUCGACCGAGGCGGUUGGAAUGCGUGGUGUAGCGGUGAAAUGCUUAGAUAUCACGCGGAACACCGAUUGCGAAGGCAGAUCGCUAGGUCGCGACUGACGCUGAGGCACGAAAGUGCGGGGAUCAAACAGG
rnacentral:rRNA from 1 species